AAACGCUUUAAGUCAGUCAUAUUCUUCAGAAAUCAACUUGAUUUUUUGGAUCUAGCUUAUUUUCUGUUGAAUGGGCCAGCAUCAAUUUUAACCGUUGGACAAAGGCAUUGGGAAGGUAGCAUCUCUUGGAUGUGUUAUAGCCUAAUGAUCCAAAUACAAUGGUUGGGAUUGAGGAACUCAGUGUGAACCUGGAGCUUCGGCUUACAUUCCGCACUUUGGAUGCUGGCGUAAUGGCUUUAAUCGA
rnacentral:rRNA from 1 species